CUGAGUUACUCCAGCCUUUUGUGUCAAUCCUCUAAUAAUUAGUCUCUUGUGUUUCAGGAAGGAUUCGGAUUCUCCCCACAGCUGGCAUGGACAGAAUCAGAAACGCGGCUGUUGCUGUGACCCUGGACCCCAACACUGCCCACCCGAUGCUCCAGGUAUCAUCUGACCUGGUC